GGUGUUAUAGCUCAGUGGUAGAGCACCUGCCUUGCACAUGUAGGGUACUAUGUUCAAUCCUCAGCACCA
rnacentral:tRNA from 1 species